ACACCUUAUCUGUGGAAAUAAAAACAGAAAGACGGUCCAAAAAGCUCAUUUCCUAAAAACUGGUUACUGCAGAACACUUGAUAAAAGAUCUUACUUUCUGGGUUCCUCAGGGCCUUGUGGAUGAAUUUGGCAGCUGGUCUUUCUCUUUUGGCAUUCCCAUCAAGACCCUCAGCAGCUUCUUCACUGCUGCAGCGUUUAAGAUGGGUUUUAGGAGAAGCGUCAGUUCCACCCUGAUCGUUCCCGCUGCUGCUCCCUGC